AACUACAAAAGUUCGAGACCUGUGAUCCAGCUUCUCGGAAUGUGUUGGGAUACCUUAUCUCAGGCAGUGUUGGCAUCAUUACAUGUGAGACUCCUUCUUGUGUUUUAUUACAGCGCCGGAUACAGAUGUUACCACAGGAAGUCCCGAUGAGGAGGAUAAAUCAAGCUAGGGAUCUGGAUAAAUCAAAGUGCAGGAAGCAUCAACUCCAACGGGAAUACAAGUGGAAGCAAAAGACAGCAAAGCAGAAAAUAAAUUUAAAUCACAGAAUCAG